rnacentral:rRNA from 1 species
AGUCGUGGGGCAGCGCGGGUAGCAAUACCUGGCGGCGACCGGCAAACGGGUGCGGAACACGUACGCAACCUUCCUUUAAGCGGGGAAACAGCCCAGGGAAACUUGGAUUAAUACCCCAUAAGACAGUGGAGUGGCAUCACUCAGCUGUUAAAGCUCCGGCACUUAAAGAUGGGCGUGCGGCUGAUUAGGUAGUUGGCGGGGUAACGGCCCACCAAGCCGACGAUCAGUAACUGGUGUGAGAGCACGACCAGUCACACGGGCACUGAGACACGGGCCCGGAUCCUACGGGAGGCAGCAGUAAGGAAACAUUGGUCAAUGGACGCAAGUCUGAACCAGCCAUGCCGCGUGGAGGAUGAAGGCCCUCUGGGUUGUAAACUUCUUUUAUUGGGGAAGAAACCGGGAUUUUCUAAGACCGUUGACGGUACCCGAUGAAUAAGCACCGGCUAACUCCGUGCCAGCAGCCGCGGUAAUACGGAGGGUGCAAGCGUUAUCCGGAUUCACUGGGUUUAAAGGGUGCGUAGGUGGGCAGGUAAGUCAGUGGUGAAAUCUCUGGGCUUAACCCAGAAACUGCCGUUGAUACUAUCUGUCUUGAAUUUAGCGGAGGUGAGUGGAAACAUGUCAUGUAGCGGUGAAAUGCUUAGAUAUGACAUAGAACAUCGAUUGCGAAGGCAGCUCGCUACACUAUUAUUGACACUGAGGCACGAAAGCGUGGGGAUCAAACAGGAUUAGAUACCCUG